AAUCAACGCUGGCGGCGUGCCUAACACAUGCAAGUCGAACGCGAAAGUCCCGCAAGGGAUCAGUAGAGUGGCAAACGGGUGAGUAACACGUGGGUGACCUGCCUUCGAGUGGGGGAUAACGUCCCGAAAGGGACGCUAAUACCGCAUGACAUCCUGCCUUUGAAGAGGUGGAGCUUAAAGCUGGGGAUCGCAAGACCUAGCGCUUGAAGAGGGGCCCNCGCCUGAUUAGCAGUUGGUGAGUAACGGCUCACCAAGGCAACGAUCAGUAUCCGGCCUGAGAGGGCGGACGGACACACUGGGACUGAGACACGGCCCAGACUCCUACGGGAGGCAGCAGUGGGGAAUUGUUCGCAAUGGGCGCAAGCCUGACGACGCAACGCCGCGU
rnacentral:rRNA from 1 species